AAGAUCAUACUUCAAAGGAUCAUUUCUAUAGUAUGAUUGGGACGAUUCGUUGACAAAACGAAGUCCAACUCAGCCACAAUGAGGAUUCAUGGAGCUUUUCCCUGAGCGGGAAACCGAAGGUCCAACAUUGACCCUGGUCAAUUGUUGACUCUCAUUGAUGACCGUUUCUGUCUGGGGUAACAUCCAGUCAGGAGGGGAUCAGCUCUAUCUGAGUGGU